rnacentral:rRNA from 1 species
UGGGGAAUUUUGGACAAUGGGCGAAAGCCUGAUCCAGCAAUGCCGCGUGUGUGAAGAAGGCCUUCGGGUUGUAAAGCACUUUUGUCCGGAAAGAAAUCCUUGGCUCUAAUACAGUCGGGGGAUGACGGUACCGGAAGAAUAAGCACCGGCUAACUACGUGCCAGCAGCCGCGGUAAUACGUAGGGUGCAAGCGUUAAUCGGAAUUACUGGGCGUAAAGCGUGCGCAGGCGGUUUGCUAAGACCGAUGUGAAAUCCCCGGGCUCAACCUGGGAACUGCAUUGGUGACUGGCAGGCUAGAGUAUGGCAGAGGGGGGUAGAAUUCCACGUGUAGCAGUGAAAUGCGUAGAGAUGUGGAGGAAUACCGAUGGCGAAGGCAGCCCCCUGGGCCAAUACUGACGCUCAUGCACGAAAGCGUGGGGGAGCAAAACAGGAUUAGAUACCCUGGUAGUCCACGCCCUAAACGAUGUCAACUAGUUGUUGGGGAUUCAUUUCCUUAGUAACGUAGCAACGCGUGAAGUUGACCGCCUGGGGAGUACGGUCGCAAGAUUAAAACUCAAAGGAAUUGACGGGGUCAUAGCUGUUUCCU